GAUGAACGCUAGCGGCGGGCCUAAUACAUGCAAGUUGAACGGAAGUAAGUUUUCGGAUUUACUUUAGUGGCGCACGGGUGAGUAACGCGUACACAACGUACCUAUCACUGGGGAAUAGCCUUUGGAAACGAGGAGUAAUACCGCAUAAUAUAUUUGGGAGGCAUCUCUUGGAUAUUAAAACUACGGUGGUGAUAGAUCGGUGUGCGGCUGAUUAGCUAGUUGGUGAGGUAACGGCUCACCAAGGCGACGAUCAGUAGGGGGCGUGAGAGCGUGACCCCCCACACGGGUACUGAGACACGGACCCGAUUCCUACGGGAGGCAGCAGUAAGGAAUAUUGGUAAAUGGAGGGAACUCUGAACCAGCCACGCCGCGUGGACGAUGAAGGCCCUAUGGGUUGUAAAGUUCUUUAGUCUGGGACGAAAAAGGGAGAUUCAUCUUCAACUGACGGUACCAGAAGAAUAAGCACCGGCUAACUCCGUGCCAGCAGCCGCCGUA
rnacentral:rRNA from 1 species